rnacentral:rRNA from 1 species
AUGGGCGAAAGCCUGACGCAGCGACGCCGCGUGUGGGAUGACGGCCUUCGGGUUGUAAACCACUGUCGGGAGGGACGAAGCUCUGACGGUACCUCCAAAGGAAGCACCGGCUAACUCUGUGCCAGCAGCCGCGGU